GCCGAAGUGGCGGAACUGGUAGACGCGCACGUUUGAGGGGCGUGUGGCGCAAGCCGUGCCGGUUCGAGUCCGGCCUUCGGCACCA
rnacentral:tRNA from 3 species